CCUUAAACAACGGAUGUCUUGGCUCUUUACACGAAGAAGAACAUUGCAUAAUGUGAUAAGCGACUAGAUUAGCUCAAUUUGUGAUAAGUUCGAUCUUUGAAUGCAUAUUGCGUAUUU
rnacentral:rRNA from 1 species